rnacentral:lncRNA from 1 species
UGUAACUACUGAGCAGCACCAAAUCUAAACUUAAAUUUUGGUGCUCUUUUUAAAAAAAAUCUAAGUUCAGUGGAUUUUCAAGCGUAGAAACAUUUUGCACCAAGCAUGGUACCAGUUUAGCCCCCAUAUUCAUUGCAGGAUCAGUGCUUGUAAAUUGUGUGUCAGGUUUGUUUAAUUACAUCAUCCACGGUCGCACGCUGCCUGAAUGUGCAAUACCAGUGGAAUCUGACACAAGGUGGCCUUCUGAUGACAGAAGAGACUAUUCAAAUGCUAACAAAUUGUUCCAAAUUGAGUUGAGGUCUACUGUACUGCAUGUUGUGGGUGCAAACCAGAGCCCUGCAUUACCCUCAGGAAGAUGUUGGUUUCACUAAUGCCCCUGCUAGGCUGGCAUCUAAAAUGUUUCAUUGCCAUCUGCCUACUCAGAAAAUCCUUACGUGCUUGAGUAUUUUUCUGAAGAAAAAUGAGACUACUAAAUACACUUAGGCUUGAGGGAUUCAAAUGAAACAGCCGUGUUCUAAUUCUUGUGUUAGUUGAUAUUUCGAUAUUAACACAAAGUCUGCCGUUUUCUACAGAUCCAUUUCAGAGUGCUGACACUACAAUACACUCAUAUUCUGCAAAUAAAUAAUGCACAUUCCAGGCCUUCUCAAGGUUAGGCAGAGAGCUAAAUCCUAAAUCUGGAACUCAGUUUUCUAAAUCCUUUUUAAUGGCCCCAGUGAGUGGAUUAAUUGAUAGGAAGCUUCUCAGGCUUUCUGAGAGAGUAAAAUGGCUGUCUGAUGCCAGUUGGGAAGUUCUGCACUCAGAACUUCAAAAGAAAGUUCAAAAGAACCUCAAAAGAAAACAGGUACUUUUCUUAAACUCAGAAUUAGAUAUCAGCAUGUCUAGGAAAGGUUGAACUUAAGCCCCCAUUUCCAUCCUGUGAACCUAAGUUGCUACCUGUAGGCUGAGUACUGUGGCAGUCAUUUCAAAGCAUCUUGCAGUGCUCUGAUGAUACCACAGCAGAAACUUCAUAAUCCAUUUUGGGUCUGUGAUUCUGCUAGGGGACAAAUGAAUAUAAGCACUCUGCAAAUUUGUCUGUUUUAGUAAUACCAGAAAAACUCUUCUCUGUUUCACGCUUUGCAUUUUUCAUAGGUUAUUUUGCUUGACAAAUUUUUCUGUUGUCUCCUCAUCACCUAAUAAGUUCCAUUAUGUGAAAUUGCAAAGCACAAAACUAGAAAUAUUUCUUGUAGACAUUUAGCAAGGCUGAGCAAGUACCUCACAAAAGUGAAUAAUUUACUUAAUUCCUUUUAACCUUUUUGCUCCCUAAUGUCUGUGAAUAUAUUAUUUUUCUCAAAAUACAUUUUUAUUCUUUUUUCCUGUUUAAACAGCAUAGUAUAAUAUGUAAGUAGAUUUUAUUUACAUUGAUUUAUCUGCUUGACAUUAUUCAGCUUGACUAUGUAAAGCUAAAUUAAAAAAAGGGUGUUUGGAAGAGUGUGCUGGAAACAAAUCAGUGGUUAGAGUUAGGAAAAUAUCUUGUAACUUGAUAGUAGGAAAAUAAUAUCUGAGCCAGCAGAAGGAAAAAUAUCAAGAAACUAAGAAAUAUUCAUUUUAGUGAACAUACACCUAAGCACAGACUAGAUAAUGUGCAGAUAUUUGAGCAGGCAGGGCAAAAAAUAGUACAGGUGAAGAGAGCUAUCCUAAUCCUACAGAGGUUGCAUGGUGAUGUGUAAUUCAAGCAAAUGCAGGGAAAAUAAAUGUCCUUGAACAACCUACGGGACGUGUUGCUUGAGAGAGCAGGUAACACUGAUGAUCCAGCUCAGGGGCAGUACAGUUUAUCUGGGAAUGCAGAGGGAAGGUAUGAAGUAGUCUUAUGAGACUGGUAGGCAAUCAAAGGAGCUUGCAAUAAGAAGUCUCUGCUAGCACAACCAUACAGCAAGGAUAGGGUGCCUGAUAGAUGAUGAAUUUCAGCUGGAUCACAGAUUUUAAAUUUUCCUGGAGAGGGAAACUCGGAAGGAGAGAGAUUGUGACUGCAGCUUGUCUCUGAGCCGUGACAGAUGUUUAGAACUAGAAAUUAAUCUGAUAUUUCGCCUUUGAAUACUACUUAGGUGACAAAGUUGAUGAAUUAAUGGAGCAUGAAGAUGCAUCCUCAUUUCAAAAUUUCAUAUUGACAGUUUCUAAAUCUAGGGAUGUUUUUCUCUAGUAUAAACAAACAAACUGCCCGUGCCUACCACCUGUAUACUACAGACAACUAUAACUGAGAGGCAAAAGACAGUAGUGCUUUAACUCCUAUGGGUUUUAUUAUUUGUUAAACACAACAGGAAUGUGAACAAUUUUGCAUCUAAUAAAUGCAUACUGACUGCAGCAUUAGGGGAAUGUAGAGUCUUGGGAGCUAGAGAAAAAAUAUAGAGCUUGUAAUGACAACAUAAUGCAUGUAAGUCAUACCAUUUUGAGAAUCGUUAUAUAUAGAUGGGACAUUAUUUAUUAUAGAUGGGAGCUUGGUAUAAGUAAGAAUACCUAUGGAUUUUCACCUUUCCUUGAAAUGUAUAAAUGGUGCAUAGAUGUUAAAUUCAUUAUGGUCUCUAGGGAGACAGAGCUGUUCAUUUUUAAACUGGUUAGUUUAGGUUCUUAUUGAUGAAAUACUUAAUAGCAGUAAGUACAUCAAGAUUAGAUAAUAAGCAGAUUGCCUGUCUGCAGCAAAAAGCAUUUACAAGUAGCCAUUUUUUCUUUUUUUUCCGUAUACAAAAUGCCAUUUAAUUAGAAAAUUUAAAAAUGAAAUUAAUUUUGUUAUUCCAUAAAUGGAAAAUGGUUUUAAGUCUCUGCAGUAAAAUAUGCUGCAGACAGAUACUAUUAAAGAACGGUAAUAUUGAAGAACAAAUGGACAGCAGCAUGCAGGCUGUUCUUCAGGAUAUGUAAAAUGAUAAAGUCAAUGGUACUAUCUGUAGGUUUGUCUACUAAAACAUUUAUAGUGAACUAUAAAAGUUAAGAAAAUAUAACCAUUUGUUGGGCUGCUAUUUACAUUUACCAGAAUUUGUAUAGGCUUGGACCUUCUCUGGGAGUUUAGAAAUUAGGGAGUGGAAUCAUAUUAAUCCUAGACAUAAGACAUGAACAUUAGAUCAUUCAGAGAAAAGUGCUUUGCUGUGGGCUAUUUUGUGCCUAUUUUGUGAAUAAAUAGAGAAAAAUAGUCACCAGAGAUACCAGGUAUUAUCACAAAGACUGAAAGACACUGCAAAAUUAAAGUACAAAGAGAACAGGUUAUGUUAAAUCAUUCUCUGGGUACCAAGUGUAAAUCACAUGGAAUGGACUUCCGCUGAGAAGAGAUUCAGCACACCUCUUGUGUUAGCAUGUUACAUGCUGUUAAAUUUGCUGACUUCAUGAAAAACAAGUCCUCUUCUGUACUAAGACUCAGCUUUAAAUCUCAAAGGAUUAAUGUGCACAUCUAAGAGACAUUAUCACCAACAGAACUGACUUGUUAUGGCUAAUAAUACCUACAGCUCCCUAGCACUAUUACCUUUAUUAUCUGCAUUUACUGAAUUACAGAAAAACGUCCCCCUCCCCAGCUUCACAAACAUGAGUUCUGGAGUGAUUUUUUUAAACAAACAAUUAAAAAACUCAAAAUCAGAUAGCCUAUUGGCAGUUCCAGCUGAAUAAUCUAGCCGUGGAUGUCCCUGUUCAUUGCGAGGGAGUUAGAUUAGAUGACCUUUAAAGGUCCCUUCCAACUUUAGGGAUUCUGUGAUACAGCAAUUUUUUUUAAAUUUUUUUUAACUGCAGUGUUCUUUAUGUUCGUUUUAUUGAAGCAAUGUAUGAAAAACAUAAUACAGGUUUUAGCUUAUCAUUGGUGUAUUGUAUAGACAAAAUUUAAAGCUAACUGAUAAAGUGUUUAAUAGUACAAAACUUAGGACUAACUUUUGUGAUUUGAAAAAUGACAUACAUUAUUAUCUCAGUAAACUUUUUACUUCAUUUAUGCUAUAUCUCUUGGAGCAUCCAGGAGCCAACCAGAUGUCUUGAAUUAAUUUGAGUGGGCAGGAGUCAUAAAGCUGUGCUGAUCUUACAGUAGCUACUGUACCUGAAGAUCUUAUCCCUUUGCUUUUAUGGAUAAUUUAUCUUUGGCUGAAGGUCAAGAUUGGUCUGUUCAAUAAGCAAUUUAAAAUUGAAGUCUGUAAUAAGAGUUUAGUAAAGAUUUGUCAUUCUGCUGCAGAAAGUGAUUAGAUAUAUGUAGUUGAUUAUAUUUUCCAUGUAAUGGCCUGCAUGUGUGAAGAGUCUGAAAUUACCCUAGACUGUUGUCAAAAUAGUGUAUGCAAGUGCAUUUUUUUAACACAGAUUUAGUAAUGCUUGGGGUUGUGUUUGUUUUUAAACAGACCUUCUUUUGUGGUAUUUACCUCAGAAGCCUUAACUGUGACUUAAUGCAAUACUUGUUAUGAAGCAAUGAAAUAAUUUUUAAAAUUAGAGGUGUACAUUCAUGCAUAUUGAACUCAGGUUUCUAGGGACUUCUAAUAGAAUACUCUAUAGGACUUACUUAUUCUGGUUUAUGUCAUAUUGUCCAAACACUACUGUUGGAAAUCAGCUCCAAUGAUACUUGCAUUUAUUUAAUGGUCAAACAUGUCCAGAUUUUAAAUUAUGCUAGGUUUUCCAGGAAAAUCUUCAUCUUUACUGUGGGGGUAAUCCAUGCAGGUAACAACUGAUGUGUUUAGAAUCAAACAUUAUGGCUUCUUUGUAACACACAGCUUGGGUUGGAGAAGUAGGCUCAGGAGGGUGCAUUCAGCUAGGUUGCACCUUUACAUAUUCUGCCUUAUCAAGAUUUGAAUCAACUGAAUCAUUUUUAGUCUGUAAUGUAAUUUCCUGGGAGAGUAUAACUAGAAGACAAAACUCCAUGAACCUGAACAAUGCAAAGGAUUUACAUAAAGAAUAUAUUACUGGAAGCCAGGGGCCAGGUCACCGAGGAGGGAGGAAGCAAAGGUUGAGCUGUUUUAUUCAAAAAUAGUGAUCAAGGACCACAAGUAAUCAUUAAUAUUUUAAAAGAUCAGUUGAACCGCUUCCUAAAGGCAUAGGUUUAUUGAGAGCAAAUGUCUCCAGAGAUCCUUUAUUACAACAGCAGCUUUUUCUUACUUUAAUACAUGCAAGAAAUAAAAAAGUAAAUGAAACCCUGAGUUCCCCUUUGUAUGCUUCAUUUUGUGAAGACUGGUUUUAAAAUAUUUUACUCAAGAACGGGAAUUGCAACUUCUUUCUGUACACAUAAUUUCUUCAAGCCCAAAGUGCCAGAACCUCCAGAUUUUCGCUUUAUCAUCCUCCUGCUGUAUUGCUCAGGUUCAGCAUACUAGUGCACGCUAGUUCAUAUUCAGGAAUAUAAUGCAAACGUCAGUACAAGUUGAGAGCACUUUGGUCUCAAAAGAAGUCCUGAAGUUUCACUUGACUGUGCCUUUUCACUUGGCCUAAAUCCCUUGAUCUACUCCUAACUUGGGGCGUCACAAAGAAACACAGAAGUUGACUUAAUAGAAGGACUGAGGACACACUAUCUGGGGCACCUGCAGCCUUUGUUUGCCCCAAAGACUUUAGGAACAAAGCUCAGUGUUUCUAUUGCUGUUCUGACAGGAACAGCAAUAUAUAAAAAAAACUUUUGUAUUGCUGACAAUAUACACAGUAGAAGUAUUCAAAUACAGGAUAUAUAGGAAGCUUGGGCAAAGAAACAAACCUAUCAAGCCUCAAUGAUGACUUCUGCCAAUGUUUUUUUCACGUGUGUGUUCAUAUAUUCAUUUCUAUUCAGGUUUCUUUAUUUGCUUUUUAUUUAUGGUUCCAUGCUUGGCAUAACCCUUGCUAGCAUAUUCAGAUCUGUGAGGGAGCAACACUGAUCCUCUGUCAGAAAUCCUGCCUGUUCAGUGCCCUAGACAGGUCAUGAGCAAGCCUGAUAGCUGCCCAAGCAAUGUGGGCACCAAUUAAUGAUUACCCCAUCCAGUUUCUGGCCAUUCUUGCACCGCCCUGGGCAAUCACUGGAUGUCAUCCAGUAAGUAGUUUUUCAGCCCAGGACACUGAAGUCAGCUGGGAAGAAGCACAAAUCACAGCUAUCUGUCCUUGGCCUGUGCAAUAACAGCCCUUGGUCAAAACGCAGUCAAAGAUAAAAGAAACCCAGGGAUUUGGCAGUAUUACUUGCACUAGUGCCUGAUAUCUAUGUUGUUUGCAAAGCCACUUGGCUAAACCUGAGUUACCUUCUUGGGAUCAUUGCAUUAUAUUUUAUUCUUAUUAAUGAACCAAGAUUAUGAAGUGUGGAGAUCUACUCUACGAAAAAAAAUUAAAAUGUGAUGUCUGUUAAUUAAUAUUAAUUCAACUACUAAUUUAGUGGCUGUUUCUUUUAUAUAAUCUGCUCAAAGUCAUACCUGAUGAUGCAUAACACCCAAUCCAUUUUUUAUGAUUGAUGACAUCAGGACUUGUUAACAGUAAUAAAUACCAAAUAGCAGAUUUGAACCCCUGUCCUUCUACUUUCAUUUUUUGGGAGUUUCUUGAAAUUCAAGGUUUCAGUGGGGAAAGACAAAACCUUCCCACAAUACUAUGAAGAUAGAUGCAAUCAGUAGAGUUCUGCACUCACUUUUCUUUUAAUCUCUAUCAUUGUAGUGUCAGAAUAUAUUUAAUAUCACGUAAAUUCCAAUCUACUAAGAGAAUUAGAUUAAUUCGAUAUCCAGUGAAUGACUUCAGUGUUUUGGAACAGUGAAGCCUUUACAGUAAAGAAUUAAGUUGCUGGCCUAGCAUACUAUUAACUUCAGAUUAUUAGUGCAAAUUUCAGUACAUUAGUGUUGUGUUUAAUUUAAUGGAGCCUAGACUGCUACAAAAUUCCUGGGAGCCUGAUAGAGAAAGUUGGCACCAAAAAAAAAAAGCCUGGUCGUCACUGGCAUGCCUUGUGCAUUUUGUACAACUGUAUGUACAAAAUUGUACAAAUUGUACAAUUUAUGUGCUCUCAAAUUAAAGGUUUUUACCUAACCACUACUGUAUUAAGUAAAGUUUGCUCUAAAGAGAAGCAAGGUGAAGGUCAGUAGCCCUACAAUUUCUGCCAUACAUCGGGGCAAAGGGCUUUGGUUACCAAAGGUAGCUGGUGUGUAGGUAUAGUUAACUAUGCCCUCCCAUUAAGGCAAGUGGCAGGACCAAGUCCAGAGGUGCAAGGCUUGUGUUGGGAAAAGGCUCAAGCUCUCCCAUCCAUUUGUUUGCUACUCCUCAGCUGAGACCCUUUCACCACACUGCUGGGGUUCCUCUGAAGAACCAGGAAGAGUGCAGUCUUGCACAAGGGGUCAGCAAUGUCAGCACAAUGGCAACUCAGCAGAGGAUGGGAAUAAAAGGAAGGUCCGUCUUGUAGUAUUUACAGUCUCCCAUACAAUGAUCUCUCUCACCUUAAUCUUUUUCACUUUCUUGCCCACUUACUACAUAGCUUUCAUUGUGAGGAAGAAAUUUUCAAAAGUGACAUAAACCACAUUUUUGAUCUGUGCCAAACACUGCAGUAUGGCAUGACUUCGGCAGACAACUUCUAAAUCUGAAAAUUACUGUAGUGCUGAAGCAAUGAAAUAAAAGAUGAAAAUGUUUACAGCUGCUGUAUGUCAGAUUCAAAGUUUAUAUUUGAAACAUGACAGUAAAAUAUUAGAACAUCGGUUGCAUAAAACCGGGUUAUCAAAACAAUGCAGCUCAAACAUAACAUGUCUAGACAUAAAUUUAUUUUGGCCAAAGUAAUUUCGAGGACUGAGAAAUAGAAUAUAAACUAGUUGUAUGACAUACCAAGGAUCUAUGAUUUUCAGAAGCAUGUUAUUCCUAUAUGCCUGCUAGCUGAGAAUAAAAUUAGAGAUUAUUGUGGUUGACUGGCUAAAAUCAGAACAGGGCUUAGCAAUUACAAUACCUAAAAUACAAGAGCUGAGAUAUUUGUACAUACAAUUGUGGUUCUUUUGUUUUUGUUUUUGUUUUAUACUCAGAGUACAUCUAAUACCAAAUAAAAUUAACUCCAAAGCCACGUGUCAGUCUGGAAAUGAAGUUGUUCGUGGCUUUCAUGAAUACAAGGUCAGAAUAUCCUAAGAACAUACUCUAUCACUACACAAGAAUUUGACAGAACCCAAUAACACGUAAUUCACAACUUCACUGAAUGCUUGUCAACUCCUGCUGACAAUUAAAACUUAUCCAAUGCUACCACUUCUUACCAAAUGAGCUAAAGUAAAAGACAAAGUGAAACUGAUAAAGCAGUUAGUUUGCUCUGAGUACCGCAGAUAAUGUAGAACAGUUCAGACUUUUUUCAUGCCUAUCCUGGAAACAAAGUUAUUUUAAGUACUUAUUCAGAUUGGGGAAGAGACUCAUUUUCAUAUAGAUACUCCAUUUGCCAUUCUCUUUUCUCAAUUCUCUGUCCAGGGAUAGUUGUCUCAACUUGUACAGUGCAAUCAUCUAUGUGAUUAUCUCAGAAGAAAUUUUUCUCAGACAAACAUCCAUGGUUAGGACCCAAGAGUGAAAAGAAGAUGGAAAAAAGGCAGCAGCAGCCUCACAUUGACCCCAACACCAACAAGUUUGAAUUAGGAGGACCCAGUAGAGGCCAAAGGUUUGAUCAGAAUAUGUGAGGAAUCCAGCAAGAAAAUAAUUUUCUUUAGACAAAGCUGCCUUGAAGUUGGAAAUCAAUUUUGAUGACACAUUUGGGGGGGCAGCCAUAUCAUCGCAGUUAGACAGAUAUAGCCACGAUGCUGUCUGAGGAGGGCGUAACUUCCUCACUAACCAGUUACUUGCAGGAGAAUUCAGUCGCACGGAAAAGAGGAGAUAAAAGGUACUUACUGCAACUGUAAUUGUUCUUUAAGUUGUUGUAUUUAGAGUGGAUUCCAGAAUCUGCUCCCCUGAUCACAAAAGUGUAAAUUGUAAGGGAAAUCUGGAGCAUUACAGUUUUCCAGACCUUUAUAUCUUUAUGUGGAAACAGAAACUGACACAGUAUACUUAUGCCUAGAUGAGGAACUGAGGUUCUAUAUGGUAGAAAUCAUUUUGGUAGAAAGAUCUUCAACCACUACUGCUUUUCGAGUUUAAAUGGUGAUAGAAAAUGUGGAACAGGAGGCAACAUAUUGUCAAGAGGAAAACUGUAUACCAGAAGUCAUCUGCAAUAGCCAAAGCAUACCCAACAUUUUCAUUUAUCAUCAUGGUGGUUGGUGGCAGGUGCUGAUGCACCUGCAAACUUUGGUCUGUAUCCAGUCAGUUAUUACUGACGGAACCUAAGCAUACAGAAAAACUGUGGAUGGGCUUCAGAUUUAAUUUUCUGUCAGAAACAUCCCGCAUAGCAAAGACCUGAUGCAGCACAUAGGCUCUGAAGGGUGGCACAAGGAUAAAUUUAAUGAUGUUUGCAUGAUAGCUUUAUAUUAAAAUAAGGAUAAAGAAGAAUAGCCACAUAUGGAAAAAAAAAAAGCAUGCCAUGUGUUUCUAGGUCUGUAUUUAGAGCUAAAACAUUUAUUUUCUUAUAGCUGUUUAUGAAUACAUAAGGUACACAUUUCAGAAAAAAAAAAGACGAUGCUAAACUCUCUUAAGGAAAUGACUAACACAAUUGUACCUUGAAUUCUUUAUAUUUUUUUAAAGAUAACUUAAAGUGAAAGAACACUAAAAUGACAGUAAUAGUACUUCUGUGACCAUAAGGACAGUGUGUUAUUGUGAAGCAAAUUUUAUGUGAAGUUUGAGUAAAUUUGAAGCCAAAGCCACUCCAGGCAGACCUAAAAUGAAAAGCCAUAAGGAUACUCUCCAGACCACCUAUACUCACCUAUUAUGAUGAUCUCUCAGAUACAGGACAGCUUACAAGUCUAAGGUGUAUGAAAAAAUAGCUUCUUGAAACUCAUUCAUGCCCCUGAUCAUGAUAAAUGCUCUGCUUUCAGUUUGAAUAAGGAGAUUUUAGAGAAAAGAAAAAAAAAAUGAAAAGGAGGAUGAUGAGUUCACAUGGGAAUAUUUUACAUGAGCAGAUGUUCCAAUAUUUUUUCAAGACAAAUGUUAAAUUUUCAAUUAGUUUUUUUCUCAGUAAGUUCAUGCAGAUGAGAUACUAGGAAUGGUAGCAUUACUUGGGAGACAUAGACAGAAUGAACACUGCAGCAAAGUAUUGCACUAUGUUUUCAAAUAUAAAUGCAAGCACACAACAACAGGAUGCAGGAGGACUUAUAAAGCCAAAAAAACAAAAACAAAAAAACGCUGUAACAAUUCAACUUUUCUAUGAAGGCUGGAUUUGUAAAUAUCCUAUGUCUGAAGUCACAGCCGUAGAUUAUUGAGGUUUAGUUCUAGAUUCAUUGUCUGCUGGAGUUUUCUUUUCUCUUUUUGCAUCUCCAACCACUGGCAGCAGAAAAGAGAUCAGUAAAUCACCUUUACAGAGCCAAGACAGAAAUACCAGAGGAGGUAAAGUUAGGGAUAAAUGCUACUACUUGUCUGUUUUUUUCAGAAAUGUGGUUUUGUGCCACUUAAGACAUCCUUGGUACUAUGCAUGCUGCUGGAAAUGACUGUAAUCAUUGUGCCAUUGUAUAAAGUUAGGGAGUAGUUUUCUCCUUGAUGAGUAGGAUGCAACAGAGGUAGAAUCGUUUCUUUUUCUGCAGGAUAUUAUUGACAAAGCUGAAGAAACAAUUCUUAGCUAGUGAAAACUAAUAUUUUAGGUUUCAAAGAUAAAUGCUAAGACAAGGUAUCCCAAAGCUCUUCACGUAGGAAGAGAGAAUAUUGCCUACUCUCAGAAUAUUUUCUCUCUGUGGAUUUCACUGAAAGCACCUCUUAAAUCAUUAUUAAAAUGACCAGAAUGUAAUAAUUUUAGGAAAACAGUAAGAACAAUCAUAGAUGUGUUAUCAAAAUGUUGAAAAAAGAUGAGCAAAUGUGAGCUGGAUGCACUGUUUUCUUCUAAGCAACAUAUUUACAGACAAAAUUAUGUCAAAAUGAAAUACAGUAUUUAUUUUUAAUAUAAAUAUGUGCAUUAAUGUAUUGGCAAGGAAAGAACACU